AAUGAACGCUGGCGGCAUGCCUAACACAUGCAAGUCGAACGAGACCUUCGGGUCCAGUGGCGCACGGGUGUGUAACGCGUGGGAACCUGCCCUCAGGUUCGGAAUAACUCUCCGACAGGGGUGCCAAUACCGGACAAUGUCUACGGACCAAAGAUAUAUCGCCUUUGGUUGGGCACGCGUUGGAUAGCUGGUUGGUAGGGUAAAAGCCUACAAAGGCGACGAUCCAUAGCUGGUCUGAGAGGAUGAGCAGCCACACUGAGACUGAGACACGGCCCAGACUCCUACGGGAGGCAGCAGUGGUGAAUAGUGGACAAUGGGCGAAAGCCUGAUCCAGCAAUGCCGCGUGAGUGAUGAAGGCCUUAGAGUUGUAAAGCUCUUGUACCCGGGAUGAUAAUGACAGUACCGAGAGAAUAAGCUCCGGCUAACUCCGUG
rnacentral:rRNA from 1 species